rnacentral:lncRNA from 1 species
GUCCAGCUAUGUAUGCUUUCAAUGCUAUACGGCAUCUCAAUAGACAUAUCCAAGGAGAAUUUUUUCAGCGUUUCUACUUGUUUAACACAAAUCUUUUUUAUUGUAUCCUGUGUGUUUUCAUUCAGUGCUUUGUCCUGUUGCCAUGGUGACACAGAAGCAGGCAUAUGAAAGGUGAUACAACCGUUCAGGCAACUCAGUUCAGUGAUAUAGGUGACCUUGAUCAGUACUGUAGAGUUUGGACAUAUAUUUCCAACAGUUAUUACAAAAAUAUCCGGUGCAUCCUGGUCCAUGAGAUAAGCUCCAUCACCUUCACUAAUAGCUUUGCGAUAUUCUCUAUGUGCUUGUUUCUUUUCUUUAACCUGCCCAAUGAUGUGUCUUCCGUUGACAAAAGCUUCAAAUCCACAAACAGCAGCUUUAUCAUCCAAAGGGAAAACAUACUUAGCUUCAAUUGGACUACUGUUUUGAUUGGUGUAGGUCUGAAACAUCACUACCUGUGCUACAAAGUCUAUUAUCCUUGCCUUGAUAUGAACACUUUCCAGAGGAACAGGAUUUCCCAGUCUGUCUUGAAGACCAGUUUUCACUGUAUCUGAAAUAUUUGCACUGGGUAAUUCAUAGCUCUCAUUCUGUAAAUGACACUGUGACUCCGGCUCAGUGUUAUCUUGUUCAAUUUCCACCCCAGUUCCAGGCUGGAAUUGUUUUAUUUGAUCUUCAGCAAGGCAAAACUUAACAACGUAUCUAAUUUUAACCUGUGUGGUUUUGUACA